rnacentral:lncRNA from 1 species
GUUCGAGUAUACAACCGGUCGCCUCCCUCAUCAUAAAUGGAGAAUUUGGAUGGUCUUCUCCUUCACUAUACUCCUAUCUGAUUGGUAUAAAUGCAUCAAAUCCAUUUAGUGAGGUCGUUUCUUGUUUGAUUUCGAUUCGUGUUGAUGGAAAGAAUCGGUGUGAGCGACUGAUCACUCAUCUAGGGUUAGGGUUACGACUUCGUCUUCUUCGUUUCAGGGUGUUAAUAUUCUAAGUGGUGAAGAAGUUGCUAUGAAGCUGGUUAUUAUGGAACAAAGGUCUUCAGGAUAUUGUUCAGGUAUGCAUCACCGAUUCACUUUUGCUUAGAAGUGGCAUUGCCAUAUUGCUGUGCCGGGUUGAAUUCACCCAGAAACGCUUUUUGCCCAUUUUUUGUAUAUAAACUAUAUUAUACUUGCAAAAGCAAAAUUAUUACAAUAAAUCAAUAAUAAUCAGGAUCGUCGAAUAAAACCAUUUGAUUUGUUUGGCCCUUUUGACCCGUUUCAUUUUGUAGCUAAAUGUUUUGAUAUGACCUGUUUUAAGAAGAAAUUCGGGGCCUGUUGAAAAGUGGAGAGAAAUUUGAUGCUUCAAUUACUCAUUGCUCAUCGUAGCCAAAACCGUGCUUAACAGAGCUGGCUAAUUCAUGUACCAUAUUAUAUGUUGGAUGUGCAUCUAAGGUGAAUGAGGCCAGGCAUCGAUUGGAUAAGUAGCUUGGAAGAAAACCAUCGCCGUUGAUUUUUUAUUUUACUCGGACCACCCGCCACAACGCGCGGACAUUCCCACUAGAAAAAAUUUAGUGUAUUUAUAUUAUAGUUCUUGGGAUAUCAUUCUUGGUGAUGAAAAACUAUAUUAGACUCUUGUUUUUUAGUAGGAAAGAAUCUUUGUUCACCAGUACAUUAAAAAUUGUGGGGACCCCUUAUUCUUUUUUACUUAAGUAAGAGAUUUGUGGAUGGAUCAAAGGGUAACACAAAGUCACCAAGGAAUGCCAAAGUAUUCAUGUUUGACAUCGAAGAUGUGGAAGUUUUGUUUUAUGUAUAUAGCUUUUUCGAAUUUUGUAGUAUGGUCCAAUCGCUCGCAUUGAUCUGAAAGUCCCACCAAGACCCCCUGGUUAUGCUUUUGUUGAGUUUGAAGAGGCUCGUGAUGCUGAGGAUGCUAUCCGGGGCCGUGAUGGCUAUGAUUUUGAUGGGGAUAAAUUAAGGGUGGAACUUGCUCAUGGUGGCCGUGGUAACUCAUCUUCUACUGACCGUCAUGGUACUUAUGGUGGUGGAGGUGGUGGUGGUCGGGGUGCUUAUGGAGUUUCUAAAAAGAUCCGAUUACCGAGUUUUGGUCACUGGGUUACCCUCUUCUGCUUCAUAGCAAGACCUUAAAGGAUCACAUGCGUCGAGCUGGAGAUGUUUGUUUUUCGCAAGUUUUCAAGGUACCACAGGGAUUGUGGACUAUACAAACUAUGACAACAUGAAAUAUGCUAUACGGAAAUUAGAUGACUCCGAGUUCCGGAAUGCAUUCUCUCGUGGAUUUAUACGCGUGAAGGAGUAUGAUUCAAGUCGCUCUAGGAACCGCAAUCGUAGCCGUAGCUAUAGCCGUAGUCGCAGGUUCUUGGAAUGAGGCCGCGUGAUGGUCGUAGGUUUGUACAAGCUUCUUGCAGUUCCUGUUGACCCGGAUGAGUUACAGAAAGACGGGUCAACAGGAACUGCAAGAAAAGCGCUUAACUUCAGAGAUUCGGAAUAAGCUAGCAACAAUAAAAACGGGACCCACGAUCGAAACCUAGAGAGUGCGGUGUGGAUGAUAAAGAGAUCUUGUUAUUAAAAGAGGCCUUGGCUAAAUUAGAAGACGAAAAAGAAGCAGGAUUAAAGCAGUACAUCGAGAGUUUGGAUAAAUUAGCGAAACCCGAGAACGAGAUUUUAAAAUCGCAAGAAGAAUCUAGCAAACUCGCCGAUCGUGCGAGUAAAGCCGAGGUUGAAUCGCGGGAAUUGAAAGACGUGUUGCAAAAGUUAGAAGCAGCAAAAGAGGAAAGUCCUGAGCAUUAUCGUCAGGCGCAAAAGAAAAUCGAGGAAAUUAACGAGCAAAAUUUGAAGGAAGAAAUCGAUAUACAGAAAACGGAACGGGAUGCGGCGUAUGAUCAGUAUAAACAAUCGUUGAAUUCGAUAUCGGAUUUGGAAAAUAAGUUACAAGAAGCAGAGACGGAAAUCGAAACGUUAAAGCUAGCGAUUGCGAUUUAACCGAAGAGAAAGACGCGCAAACGGUUUUAUACCAGAAAUGCAUGGAGCCCAUUGCGAGUCUGGAACUUCGACUUGUAUGUGCACAAGAAGAAACAGAAAGGCUGAAAACCGAAAUCGAUAACGGAGUUUUACGUUUAAAGGAAAAAAUGGUAGACGAACAAUCAAUAAGAAACUUGUAUAAAAGAUAAAUUGACUAAGACAACACAUUACAAAAGUUGUAAUAUGGUAGAGAUGCCAAAGUUAUUUGUUUGCAUAGGCGGAUAAUGAGAACUGCAC